GGCUUUGCAAUGGUGCCAGUCUACUGCUGCUUUUCUGACUCUGGCUUUCUGGUCUGGUCUCUGUUGUGCUGGUGGUGAGCCCACAGCUGCCCAUCUGCCCUCUCCCCUCUGCCCCAGGUGAUUGUGCUACACUGGCCAGGUCCCCGUCCCACCGCCCGCCCGCCUGUGUUUCUGUGCUGCACCUAGAGCAGAAGACUUCAGGACAACGAGGGGUAUGGAUCUGAGAACGAGGUUUUUCUGCGGGAAGUGCUGGACUGAGGAAGGAAUAAGGAAUGAGAAGAAAGCAGUUAAAUCCUGGACUGACAGGAUCAGAGUGAAAGAGACAAGCCAAGCAAGGAAACAACAUCAGUUCUCUUCAGGAGUGGAGCUAGUGACAAUACCAGGGGCACAAAGAUGCUGGAGCUGCUUCCUUAUGCUGGAGCCAAACGGGAAGGGGAACUUGCCUCAGAUGCGACUCCUGCAGCAGACCAAGAGUCUUUUGGGCCAGAAGUUGUUAAAGCAAAUUCCAGUCACAGAUGAUGACAAGAUAACCUUCCAGACUUACUGUAAUGCUGUGUCUUGGCUAUCUAGAAGCAGCUUCGAGAUGAAAUUAAAAGGACUGUGCCAAACCGUAAUCUCAGGUGUUCUCCACAAGGAGCAGAUCCAGGGCCUGCUGAGUGACUUGUACCCUCUGGAAAAUAGCAGUGCCAUUACUGAGCUUUCUUUUUGCUUUCUGAAAGAAGUGGAUAAAAGCAAUCAAGGUUUCAUCUCUGAAGAUAUGUUUAUGGCCUGGGUGCAACACCUUCCACGAGAUAUAGUGGAAUCUAUUCUGAAGUUCCCAAUAAUACCUCCAAGUCUAAGUGACUCUAAGGUUCCUGUUUCUUAUAUGAAUAUUGCUGAGGAUGAUCAAGACAAGCAGGGGCUGGAUGAUAGGCAGGUUUUUAGAGUGGCUACAGAGUUAUCCAGAAGAAAGAGAAACUGGAAGCUUCUUGCUAGCAAGCUUGGCAUUUUGGAGAAGAACUGCUCCCAUCUGGAACAUCAGAAUUUGGAAAUGAAGAACCAACACUCAAGGUGGCAUGCACAGAGUUUCCAGGCAAUCUCCCAUCCAGGCACUGACCACCUAGAACUGCUUAGCUUCAGCAAGAUCCUGAACAUGCUACAGAUGUGGCACAGAGCAUGCCAAGAAGCUCCACUUCCCACCCUGCAAGCCGCCUUGAGAGAAAGUGGCAAUGCAGAUAUUUGUCACGAAGUAUUCCACUUGAGCUUUUAAGGGACUUUUGCUAAGAAAAUAUCAUUGUUUUGGAAAGUGCCUGUAAGGCUAAGAUUGCAUAUUUCAAGGAUCGGGUCAGGAGCAGUUGCAAGAGUUUCUCCAGGAUGGCAGCAGCAAGACAGCAGUGAGCUGAUCUCCUAAAGCAAUUGUUCUUGGGAAGGGCCAUCUUGGACAAGAUGUCUCCACCCUAAAGCAACAGCUCUUGGAGCCCUGUCUGCAAUGAGUAUGUGUGGCAGCAUCUUGGAAUUACUCUGGCGGUGAGGGCAGCAGAGACUGAGUAGGGCUGAAGCAGUUAAGGCCAGCUCUGCAAGGAUACCAUUUGAAAGAGCGAAAAAGACUCCUCCAUCCCCACAAAUCCUCUAUUUAUUUAUUGACCACCUUUGUCAUUGCACUUUUACAAUGCAAUGUGAAGCCGCGGGGGGAAGGGAUUGCCUGUGUGUUUGUGCUACGUGGUCACCACCUGCAGAAUAGGACUGAUCAGACAUCUUAAAGCCUACCUCAAAAGGAACAGUGAUGACCAAAAUGCAGGCAAGCACAAGAAGAGUCUUCAUUCUGUCUGAUAACUCUGUAAGAAUAAAGAAUAACAGCAAUCUCAUGUAGUCACAGUUGAACAUUUACAUUAAUCAAAAUGGAAUUUAUUUAUGCACAUGUCCAUGCUUAUAUUCAUACAGGGAGGAAGGGAGGAAGAGAGAAAAAGGGAGUGGGGGCAUCAGUAUUCUUCUCCAGCGUAGAUGGAAAAAUUAUUGGUUGCAUAUGUUAUCACAUAUCUUGAAAAUCUUGAUCUGGUUCAGAACAUAUCAAUCAUAUAGAGCUGAACAUAGUAAUAGAAAAAUCAUACUAAAUAUAAACUAGAGUGGCAAGUAAAUAGAUUUUGAUGGGAGAGUUUAUUAGGCCUGUACAUGGCCAAAAAUAUUGUAUCAGAUCCAACAGUUCUGAUAGGUAUCGGUAUUGAGUCUUUUGACUGUU